AAACCACGCCCUUAAAUCAAGAUGGCUGACUUGAUGAAGGUACUUUAUUUUUAUGGAAUUUUAAUAAUCAUGAAGUCUCUAAACUCCAAAAUGGUCUGAAGGAAGGUCUAUCUCUGACUCUUUGGGCUAAACACAGCAGCUUACUAGCCAUUGGAACUAUCA